GCCUUACUGUUAAUUUUAAUUAGAUCUACACAUGCAAGUUUCCGCCAUCCUGUGAGAAUGCCCUUAAAACUAAAACUAGUCUAAANGGAGCUGGUAUCAGGCUCACUAUAAGUAGCCCACUACACCUUNCUCAACCACACCCCCACGGGACACAGCAGUAACUAACAUUAAGCAAUGAACGAAAGUUCGACUAAAUCAUAAUUAUUUANGGGUUGGUAAAUUUCNGUGCCAGCCACCGCGGUCAUACGAUUAACCCAAAUUAAUAAAUUNNCGGCGUAAAGAGUGUUUAAGCUCAAAAAAUUUAAUAAAGUUAAUGAUUAACUAAACUGUAAUACGUACUAGUUAACACUAAAACUAAUGAUUAAAAUUACUUUACCAAUGCUGACACACGACAACCAAGACACAAACUGGGAUUAGAUACCCCACUAUGCUUAGUCAUAAACUAAAAGGACUUAAUAACAAAGUCAUUCGCCAGAGAACUACUAGCAACCGCUUUAAACUCAAAGGACUUGGCGGUGCCCUAAACCCACCUAGAGGAGCCUGUUCUAUAACCGAUACACCCCGAUAAACCCAACCCUAUCUUGCCAAUACAGCCUAUAUACCGCCAUCGUCAGCCCACCUUAAAAAAGCUUAAUAGUAAGCAAAAUUAUUAGUCAUAAAAACGUUAGGUCAAGGUGUAGCAUAUGAUAAGGAAAGAAAUGGGCUACAUUCUCUAACCAUAGAGCUUAACGAAUCACAUUAUGAAAUUAAAGUGCUUGAAGGAGGAUUUAGUAGUAAAUUAAGAAUAGAGAGCUUAAUUGAAUUAGGCAAUAGGGCG
rnacentral:ncRNA from 1 species